rnacentral:rRNA from 2 species
CAGCCGCCGCGGUAAAACCAGCACCUCAAGUAGUCAGGAUGAUUAUUGGGCCUAAAGCAUCCGUAGCCGGCUCUGUAAGUUUUCGGUUAAAUCUGUACGCUAAACGUACAGGCUGCCGGGAAUACUGCAGAGCUAGGGAGUGGGAGAGGUAGACGGUACUCGGUAGGAAGGGGUAAAAUCCUUUGAUCUAUUGAUGACCACCUGUGGCGAAGGCGGUCUACCAGAACACGUCCGACGGUGAGGGAUGAAAGCUGGGGGAGCAAACCGGAUUAGAUACCCGGGUAGUCCCAGCUGUAAACUAUGCAAACUCAGUGAUGCAUUGGCUUGUGGCCAAUGCAGUGCUGCAGGGGAGCCGUUAAGUUUGCCGCCUGGGAAGUACGUACGCAAGUAUGAAACUUAAAGGAAUUGGCGGGGGAGCAC